rnacentral:rRNA from 1 species
AGUGAACGCUGGCGGUAGGCCUAACACAUGCAAGUCGAACGGCAGCACAGUAAGAGCUUGCUCUUACGGGUGGCGAGUGGCGGACGGGUGAGGAAUACAUUGGAAUCUACUUUUUCGUGGGGGAUAACGUAGGGAAACUUACGCUAAUACCGCAUACGACCUACGGGUGAAAGCAGGGGAUCUUCGGACCUUGCGCGAUUGAAUGAGCCGAUGUCGGAUUAGCUAGUUGGCGGGGUAAAGGCCCGCCAAGGCGACGAUCCGUAGCUGGUCUGAGAGGAUGAUCAGCCACACUGGAACUGAGACACGGUCCAGACUCCUACGGGAGGCAGCAGUGGGGAAUAUUGGACAAUGGGCGCAAGCCUGAUCCAGCCAUACUGCGUGGGUGAAGAAGGCCUUCGGGUUGUAAAGCCCUUUUGUUGGGAAAGAAAAGCAGCAGGUUAAUACCCCGCUGUUCUGACGGUACCCAAAGAAUAAGCACCGGCUAACUUCGUG